GUGACCGCUAGCUGGGUCGGCUCCUUGAGCUAGGGUCCCUUUGAAUGAAAACUCUGCCUAGGUUCUGAAUGUGAUCGACAACACUGACUCUAGUCAGUGGGGAUUCAGACAGUCCAGGAUCCCUGUGUCCCCCAUGGAGGAGUUCCUCAUUUAUGAUCACAGGGUAAAGAUGUAUGUCAUGUUAUCACCAUCGGUCUCCUGUCGCACUCCUGCAAGAACGUAAGGACCACAUACAUGACUCUGAGGGAAGUCUGUAGUCAUGGAACCCGUGGUCACUGUAGCUGGGACAUGGGAAUGGGAGAGAUCCAGGAAGCCUUGUUCCCCCAUUUCUGAGUCACUGUGACACCUGAUUGUAAUUAAGACACCUGAGUCCCCACGUCCUCCCCACGUCCUCUCAUCAGUAGUCUCUAUAACUCUCUCAGCUGGACUCACCACACAGACCAGCAACCUGUCCCACUCCACAUCUCUUCCCCAGUCUCUCCCUCUUCACCUCAUCCUCAGAUGACCCUCCCCCCUUGACCCUCCAGUCUGCCUUCUGUCCGCCAACCCCCAGAGUUCCAGGGAGGCAGUUGGAGAUGCUAAGGAAAGAAGGGCUAAGGGGCACACUGUCUGCCGGCUGAUCCAGGUCCUUCCUCGCCAGGGCCAGGUGUGUGAAGACAAGAAUGAGGAUGAAACCUUCGGUGUGAGAAGAACGGGGGAUUUCAUAGGAAAGCCAGUGAGUUGUUCAAAUGGACCUCCAAGAGCCUUGUACAGCCUUCACAACCUUGUACUAGAACCAGCGAAGAGAACCAUCAAAGAGCAAAUUUGUCAGAAUAAAGACAUAAAACCUCGUUACCUAUCGCUGCCAGGGUGCCCAAGAGGACACCCACCGCUGACAGCUUCGUGGGCAUUCCCUUCAUGCGACCCACCUUGCGCAUGCAUUGACCCUCCACAUUGCAGCGACACACGAUCACUGGGGUGGAGAAAGAAGAUGCGAGUAUUAGGGAAGGCUCCUAGCUGCUUGGAACCUCCCGUCUGGAAAACUGGCUGAUACGUGUUUUUGUGCACCCCUGUGUAGGUGUGCAUGUGUGAAGGUGAUUGCUCCUCUGUGUGUGUGGCAGGAUACACACAAGUACAUUGGCCCAGAGAAGAAAUGUGCAUUGGAGUUUGCUGUCUACGUGAGAGUGCAUUGUGUAUGCCCAGGCUCUUUCCCCCGUAUCCCAAUGGCUUCCACAGAAAUUAAAGAUGCCAACUUUGACUGCA